GUGUAUUUUGUUGGAAACUUAACAGCAGAAAAGUGCGAAGAAAACGGAAAAACUUGACAAAGUUGCUUAAAGAAACUCUUAAGUUGGUCUUUCAAGAUCAAUUCAACGUUUUGACCAUCAGUAAUGGCUCCCCCUUUCUUUGACUGGACUCUACAACCCCAUACCCAAGGGUUAGUCAAACAUGUGGCCGGGGGGCCACAUGCGGCCCUCCAAUCGAUUACAUGGAGCCCGCCCACGAAAGUGCGGCGCCACAGUUGCCAAGCAAGACCGGCCCCCUCCUGACCAGACUACAUGCUCAUUGGCCCCCAGGUCAUUUCAGAUUGACACCCCUGCUCUAAAUGGUAAAAGGUCUGUAUUUACAUCAUGCUUUUCUAGUCUUGAUGACCACUCAAAGCUUCUUUACACUACAAUUUUGCCAUUGACAUAUUCAUUAUGCAGUGCUUUUUCUAUCACUCAUCUUUUAAACCCAUUCACCCCGAGGGUACUCGACAGGAAUCAAACCCACAACCUUUGAGUUGAAAGACAGCUUGCUCAACCACUCAGUGACCUCU